rnacentral:tRNA from 1 species
GGGCCCGGUAGCCAUUCGGUAGCCAUCCAUGUCUCCACGAGGUAGAUUCAAGAGGUGAUGGCUCCGGCAAAGCUGCAGGUCACAGCACAUGUCGGAGCAUCUCAGAGCCUUGGGCCACAGACUGUAAAUCUGCCGGCACAGCCUUCGGAGGUUCAAAUCCUCCCCGGCCCA